GAUGAAGAACGUAGCGAAAUGCGAUACGUAAUGUGAAUUGCAGAAUUCAGUGAAUCAUCGAAUCUUUGAACGCAUAUUGCGCUCUUUGGUAUUCCGAAGAGCAUGCUUGUUUGAGUAUCAGUAAACACCUCAACCUCUUCUUGAUUUUUCAAAAGGAGGGUGGACUUGAGCUAUCCCAACAACCUUUACCGGUCGGCGGGCGGACGUCGACCUCAGGGGUGACGGCGCUACAUAUCACGUGGCACCGGCCACCGUAGACCCCCAAAAGGUUGACCUCGGAUCAGGUAGGGAUACCCGCUGAACUUAAGCAUAUCAAUAAGCGGAGGA
rnacentral:misc_RNA from 1 species